CCUUUGAUAGCUCAGUUGGUAGAGCGGAGGACUGUAGAUCCUUAGGUCGCUGGUUCAACUCCGGCUCAAAGGA